rnacentral:rRNA from 1 species
UACGAAGGGGGGCUAGCGUUGCUCGGAAUCACUGGGCGUAAAGGGCUCGUAGGCGGCCAACUAAGUCAGACGUGAAAUCCCUCGGCUUAACCGGGGAACUGCGUCUGAUACUGGAUGGCUUGAGUUCGGGAGAGGGAUGCGGAAUUCCAGGUGUAGCGGUGAAAUGCGUAGAUAUCUGGAGGAACACCGGUGGCGAAGGCGGCAUCCUGGACCGACACUGACGCUGAGGAGCGAAAGCCAGGGGAGCAAAGCGGGAU